GAUGAACGCUGGCGGCGUGCCUAAUACAUGCAAGUCGAGCGAACGGACGAGAAGCUUGCUUCUCUGAUGUUAGCGGCGGACGGGUGAGUAACACGUGGAUAACCUACCUAUAAGACUGGGAUAACUUCGGGAAACCGUAGCUAAUACCGGAUAAUAUUUUGAACCGCAUGGUUCAAAAGUGAAAGACGGUCUUGCUGUCACUUAUAGAUGGAUCCGCGCUGCAUUAGCUAGUUGGUAAGGUAACGGCUUACCAAGGCAACGAUGCAUAGCCGACCUGAGAGGGUGAUCGGCCACACUGGAACUGAGACACGGUCCAGACUCCUACGGGAGGCAGCAGUAGGGAAUCUUCCGCAAUGGGCGAAAGCCUGACGGAGCAACGCCGCGUGAGUGAUGAAGGUCUUCGGAUCGUAAAACUCUGUUAUUAGGGAAGAACAUAUGUGUAAGUAACAGUGCACAUCUUGACGGUACCUAAUCAGGAAGCCACGGCUAACUACGUG
rnacentral:rRNA from 1 species